AUGCUCUACCAAAUCCACUCCCAUGCCGAAAUCCAAGCCCUGCAGGCCCGCACCGAUGAGCUGGGCCACUCCAAAGACUUCAUGCUUGUGAAUCUUGUCUCUUUGGAGUCGGUGCGCAUAGCGAGCGAGUCGUAUGCACUCCUCCGCCCGCUGAUCGUGGAGUCGAUGUUCUGGGCAUGCUCGGAGCUGGAAAACCUCUCGGUCGUGGCAGCCUUGUCGCUGGAAAUCCAGAUGCUUGAGCAUGAUGUGUUACCCCAGCUCAAGGUUCAGGACCCCAAGCUGGAACGGGGCGCCCUGCAAGCCCUCCUCCUCAUGAAAGACUCAGCAAUUAUGCUCUUAAAUCUCAGGAAGCGCUUUAUCGUAGCCUUGGGCGUAUUGCUUGCCGAGGAGGAUCAGGUCUCAGGCCGAGUCAAAAAGCUGAGCGAAAUGCUAAAGGAUACUGUUGAUGGUGUACUCAAAGGUAAUGGUAACAUUGUCUUGCUUGAGAAGCGUGUCCUGUUGCUGGUCAAUCUGGUCACCGAAGUGUUGGAGACCCCGGUUCUUUUCUGUGAUCCUGAUGAGUAUUCUGAUGAGUAG
rnacentral:rRNA from 1 species